rnacentral:rRNA from 1 species
GGAAUUUUGGGCAAUGGGCGAAAGCCUGACCCAGCAACGCCGCGUGAAGGAUGAAGUCCUUUGGGAUGUAAACUUCGUAAGAAUGGGAAGAAUAAAUGACGGUACCAUUUGUAAGGUCCGGCUAACUACGUUCCAGCAGACGCGGUAAUACGUAGGGACCAAGCGUUGUUCGGCUUUACGGGGCGUAAAGGGAGCGUAGGCGGCGCGUCAAGUCAGCUGUGAAAUCUUGAGGCUUAACCUCAAGCGGUCAGCUGAUACUGUCGUGCUAGAGUGCAGAAAGGGCAAUCGGAAUUCUUGGUGUAGCGGUGAAAUGCGUAGAUAUCAAGAGGAACACCUGAGGCGAAGGCGGGUUGCUAGGCUGACACUGACGCUGAGGCUCGAAAGCCAGGGGAGCAAAC